rnacentral:lncRNA from 1 species
UAAAAAUCCCACAUAUUUAACAUCUUACAAAACACAAAUUAAUCAAACCAUAUUCUGAGCCUAAAAUACAUAAACAUCCAAACACCAAAUUUAAAAAUCUUAAUAAUACAAAUAACAGUAAUUAGAAUCCAAAUUACAAAAGCCAAGUGCUUUCUUUAGUUCUCUUCAUUUUGUUCAAUAGGAAUCCUGCACAUAAAAAGUAAAUAAAAUUAAUACAAUGUCAAGUUGGUUUAUUCAUAUUAAUUAGUUGUAUGAAAAGGAAUGGCAGUGAUGGGAAAGGUCCUUAAACCUUCCCUUUUAAGUCAACAAAAUUGGCGAUCAACUAUUGUAAUAACAUAUUAACACGGCAAAUCGGUGCAAUAUACAUCUCAUACCAACAAAUUUGAUUGAGGAUAUUAUCAUAGUUGUUAACAUAUAUGUUUCCAUAAUAUUGAUUUUAAUGAUAACAAACAAGAUUAAGAAUGAUUAAUCUUUUAAGAUCAAAUUAUUUUUUAUAUAUUUUUAAAUAAAUCAUUAUUUUCACAUUAUAAAUGUUUCAUAUUUAAUGGAAAAAUGAUUUUAUGAAAUUGGUUGUUUUUCAAAGUUUAUGGUUUAAUUGAAAGAAUUUUGAAAACUUUGAAAUAAACAAGUAUUGCUUGAAAUUUUGGAGAAUGACUUAUUUGAAAAGUGUCAUAGCAUUUUGGGCUAUACCAUAAUUUCAGAAAGUUUUGGGAUUAACAAAGCAUUAUUUAGAAAUUCUGAAAUUGGACCUAUUUGUAAAUUUUUAUAACGUUUUGGGCCGUAACACAGUUUUAUAAAGUUUUGGGGUCAAACUGUGAAUUUGGAAAAUAUUUCACUGUAGCAGUUACUGUAGCAUACUGUAGAAAACGGCGAUCCGACAUCUUGAUAACGGCUCGCCGACAUCUAACAGAAUUGAAGAUUAGUCUCUGGACCUAAACGGCGAACCGACAUGUGUGAUAAACGGCUCGUCGAUAUAAACCAGUAGCCUCUGGACCUAAACGGCGAUCCGACAUAUAAUUAACGGCGAUCCGACAAUUUGAAAAAACAGCCCAACGGUCAUAUUGACCAGUCAAACGGCGAUCCGACAUCUAGCUAACGGCGAUCCGACAGUGUGCAGAAAGUCAAUAACGGCCAGUUUUCAGCUCCAACUAUAAAUAAGCUCAAUCCAAUUCAAACAAGAAGAUUUCCAACGAUCAUCAUUGAGCAAAAUAUUGAGAAUACAACUUUCAUUGAGCUUUAAAUCUUUGUAUUCAUCUUAUUCAUUCACACAUUGAGCUUUCACUUGUGAUCAAACACAUUGUGUGUGAGAGAUUCAUUUGUAAUCUUUUUUGUAAAAUCAAGUUAAAAGAUUGUAAGUGUUGGGAUACACUUGGGUUAAGAGAUUGGGGAUAAUCUCUUGUUGUAAAGGUCCAUUGACACCUUGGAAGUCAAUUGUAAGCGUUUGAAGCCUUGGGAGGCUAGCUUAGUGAAAUCCUCAAGCCCGGUGAGCUUGGAGGCGUGGACGUAGGCGAGGAUUGCCGAACCACGUAAAAAUCAUUGUGUUUGUUUUCUCUUCCCUUACUCUUUUAAUAUUGUGCAUGAUUGAAUUUAUUGUUUUCAAUUUGAUUAAGGCAAUAGAUUAAAUUGUUGUGUGGUUUGCUUAGCUUAAUUUUUAAAAAACCCAAUUCACCCCCCCUCUUGGGUUGCCUAGUUAGUAUUUCAAUAGUUACUAAUCUGGAACCGAUAAUUAAGUAUUGGAAUUUAUAAUCACCAACGAAAAAAAAAAAGGAAACUCAAUAGCUUAAAAAUUUAAAAAGAAAAAAAAAACGAGAUGAGAAGGGAAUAGGAGCUUACUGUGCGGUAGAUGAAAGUGAGAUGGUGGAGGCCAAAGCUUUGUUUCGUUAAUUAAACAAAACAAGAUGAAAAGGGAAGAACGGCUGAGAUGGUCCCUUGU